AUAUUCAGGUUCAAAGAAUUAAGUAGCAACAUAUCUGAGCAAGCUGGAAACACAUCCGAAUCUGGAGUAGUAGAAAUUUCUAAGUGCAUUGGGAUAGUCCUGUAGGUACAGAAUGUGCUGUUUUUCAACUCAACCCUGAUCCUGAUGGCUUUGUGACUGUUGAAAGACAGUAUAUGCCACAUAAGUUCAGGCAUUCUCCCAAUAUAAUAUAAGUUGUACUUAUUGUCAUAUAGCUUACUUAUAGAGACGGGGAAAAAGAUGAUGAUAAAAAACUCCACAAUAGUAAGAAAUCCAAGAACAAAGAUAUAACGGAUGAGGAAGGAGCUAAAGAACCUAUCAACAAUGAUGCAUCUAGUGGCAGUAAUGAUGCAUCUACUUCUACUUCCCCUAACCCUAAUGAUGGUUCUAGUUCCAUUAAUGAUGGAACAAAUCCAAAUGUGAAAUUCUUUUUCUUUUUUCCUGAUUUCUAUGCAUGUUAUGCAACAUGCUUUAGCAGUUCUCUUACUCUAAUAAAGUAGAGAGCCGCACUACAUAAUGAUACAAAGGGGAUACUGAAGGAGGUUUUGCAAUUGUUUCUAAUUUAAGUAUGAAUCUUCUUGAAUCCAAGUGCCAGAACAUUCAUCUUUACCGUGAGGUAUGGUUUGUUUCCAGCAGCAGUUUCUUAGUUAAUGCAUCACUGAAUUGUCAUGAACCUUGAACUGAAUACCUUAUUGAUUAUACUGUCAUCUAUUUUGGGUUGUGAUCACGCCUUCUGCUUCUAUUUUACCUCCUAAAUUUUCAUCGUUGAGGUGUCGUGAGUAUUAAUGAAGAAUCUGUGUUUGGGUGAAUGUUAUAAAUUAUUCUUUUCGUUGUUGCUUCCUUUUAGGUGUUUUUGUGUCCAUGAAUGGAGGAUCAUAUACGUGCUUUUUGGGUCCUUUCUAUGAGUUUUCACUUUUGAAAGUCAUAUAGCCGUGAGGGCGGACCGUAGGCAUCAUUGUGUUUCAGAUCAGAUAUGUCAAUGAACUACUCCCUCCGAUCCAUUAAUAUCGAGGGAGUAUGAUUUAAUUUGUAAGAUGGAGAUUUGUGCUUAAGUACUAAACUAAUCUUAUAGAUUUAUUCUUUCCUUCUUGUGCAUGAAGAGGAAAUCAGAAGUUUAAGUUCCCUUAAGAAUUUUCCUUCAUGUGUCAUCUGCACUUAUUUUCCUUUUUCUUUUUGGCAAUAAAGUAUUUCUUAUGUUUGCUGUUUCAGACAUAGGAACGUAGGGAGGUGAAUGGACUAUGGAUUCAGAACAGAACCAGGUUGACCAAUGACCAUGGCACGUCUUCACCAAUGAGUGGCACGUCUUCACCAAUGAGCCAUGUUGUUGGCACCAAUAUUCAAGCUUGUAUGCGGAAAUGAGAGGAGAGAGCAAGGAUGUAUGUGGAUGAAUCAAUAACCAAUCUACAAGCUCCAAGGCGAGCUUCGUCUGAUGGAUACGUUUGCUGCUCCACUGGCGCACUACAUUGUGGACCAUGGACUGUCAUGUCAGACCCCCGCUGGGAACUGCAGAAGGCCUCUCAUACUCCGCGCAUGAACUGAUCGGAGACGCCAAGGAGAUGAGCAACACAAGAACAAGGCUAACUGAAGAUAGUUCGAAUGCAGUUUCCCUUGGCUGUACCGUCUUGCUCGAGCCCCGGUUGUCUGCGUCACAACAACGCGGACGGCCAAGUGAUCGAGAAAGGUGUGACAUGGGUAUGCCCAUCUGGUGGUCGAGCGUCCUGAGCGUGGGUUAACAGGUCGUCGCCGGUAAAUGAUUGUGAUAGUGGAAUCAGGCUACUUGCUUGCCAGUUUAGCUGAACAGUCGGUGGUAAGAACUAUAUUUCUUGGGGGUGUUACAGUUUCUGUUCUAAUUUUCAGAUGGUAACAUUUUCAUGCUCUUCAGUAGUAUAGCAAAGGGUAAAAAUGCUUGCACAAAGGAGAUUCAUAUAUAACAUAGAAAGGCUGGGUUAUGAGGCUGAGGGGGCCAGCGAGCAGAGGGUGUGUUUUUGUGGAGGGAGUUGACGGGAUGGACUAGAGGAGCAGCGACUAGAGCGAGGACCAAUCCUCUCCCAAAACCUAGCGCACCCGGACCAAUCCUCUUCCUCCUCGAGCCCCACACCACUCCGCCCCGUCUCGCCUCCCCUGCUCCUCUCGCACCGCUGCCUUCUCUCCCGGCCCACUUCCCCGGUGCUCGAGGUGCAGCAGCAGGGGCUCAACUACGUUCGAUCCAGCCGGAUCAGGCGCAGGUCGCCGGCAUCCGGCGCUGUGUGCAGUGAUUCUGGAUCGGGCUCAAAUCUCCGUCAGGAGAUUAGGAGCGGCUGCUGCGGUGAGGGCAGCAGAGCUGCAGCGGAACCCACCUGGUUGAGCCCCCACCCCGGCGGUUGCGUGCAGAGGAGGAGAGGUCGAGGAUGGCUACCAUAGCCCGUCGCAAGUUGCCUCCUUGGUUAUUUGUGAAUCUGAAAACACUUUGUGAGAAGCAAGGAUUGAAGAGAAGGCUACGAGGCAAUGAGAAGAGCUUCAUUUUUAGUUUUUUUUAAGAAUUGAUGAAGGACAUGUCAUGUGUUCAGUUGCUAACAUUCUCUCUAUGGUGUAUGCACUUGUUGUUCAUUGCAUUGGAGGGAGAGGAAAACUCUUUAUGAGAAGCAAGGAUUGAAGAGAAGGCUAUGAGCCAAACAACAAGAGUAAGAAAGCCUUGCGGUGUGAAGGCAGUAGAACGCAGCUCCAAGUCAAGUGCAUUGGCCUCAACAGCAAGAGACCAGUACCAUGAGGUUCGCUUGAAUGCUUUCUAGCCCGGCAUCGAACAACACCCUUAAUAAAACUACAUGGUGGACGCUAAUUGUCAUAUUUUGACUGACAAAUCUGUUUGAAUAGAUUAUACAUGAUUGAUGAUUAUCAGAUGAUUGCAGUCUACCCCAAGGUGAGUUUAUCCGUUUGGUUUAUGCAAAAAAUGCUUAUUUGGCUUCAUGUGUAACAUGAUUUUUUAAUAUCUAACAUUUGUUCUGUCCAACAUGAGUACAUGAGAAAGAAGUGCUACUGCUACAUUACUGCUGCUUGCCAAGGGAAAACAGAGUUCCAUUGUAAAAUGAAAUGCCAGAGAUCAAUGAGGAUUCGGGCGGCGGGGCGGGGACUGGUGAUAGGAAACAUAGGUCCAAGAAGAAAUCAAAGAGCAUGACUACAAGGCCGUAACGUUCAUCCCAGCAUGGACUUUGGACCGAAGUCACACCAAUUCAAGAGGGAAGUUGUUCCACCAUAACAUGCAUUACUGGAGUCAAACUCCCUCGAUGUCGGUAUUACCAGUUUCCUG